rnacentral:rRNA from 1 species
GACGAACGCUGGCGGCGUGCUUAACACAUGCAAGUCGAACGAUGAAGCCGCUUCGGUGGUGGAUUAGUGGCGAACGGGUGAGUAACACGUGGGCAAUCUGCCCUGCACUCUGGGACAAGCCCUGGAAACGGGGUCUAAUACCGGAUAUGACCACUGACCGCAUGGUCUGGUGGUGGAAAGCUCCGGCGGUGCAGGAUGAGCCCGCGGCCUAUCAGCUUGGUGGUGGGGUGAUGGCCGACCAAGGCGACGACGGGUAGCCGGCCUGAGAGGGCGACCGGCCACACUGGGACUGAGACACGGCCCAGACUCCUACGGGGGGCAGCAGUGGGGAAUAUUGCACAAUGGGCGAAAGCCUGAUGCAGCGACGCCGCGUGAGGGAUGACGGCCUUCGGGUUGUAAACCUCUUUCAGCAGGGAAGAAGCUUUCGGGUGACGGUACCUGCAGAAGAAGCACCGGCUAACUACGUGCCAGCAGCCGCGGUAAUAC